rnacentral:lncRNA from 1 species
UGAUAUUCGACAUUGUGUGUGGUCUCCCUUUCUUACAAAAGUGGGUACCCCAAGGGCACACCCUUGGUUGCUAACUUGUGAUAUAUAAACACUACCAAGUGGUGUGAUUUUUCCAAUGUGGGACUCAAAGAGUCUUUUUUCAAUUCACACUACACAUGGUUCUUGCACUUGUGUUUAUUUCAAUACCAAGUUCCCUCCAAAUUC